rnacentral:rRNA from 1 species
AGCGAACGCUGGCGGCAGGCCUAACACAUGCAAGUCGAACGAAGUCUUCGGACUUAGUGGCGGACGGGUGAGUAACACGUGGGAACGUGCCUUUAGGUUCGGAAUAACUCAGGGAAACUUGUGCUAAUACCGAAUGUGCCCUUCGGGGGAAAGAUUUAUCGCCUUUAGAGCGGCCCGCGUCUGAUUAGCUAGUUGGUGAGGUAAAGGCUCACCAAGGCUACGAUCAGUAGCUGCUCUGAGAGGAUGACCAGCCACAUUGGGACUGAGACACGGCCCAAACUCCUACGGGAGGCAGCAGUGGGGAAUCUUGCGCAAUGGGCGAAAGCCUGACGCAGCCAUGCCGCGUGAAUGAUGAAGGUCUUAGGAUUGUAAAAUUCUUUCACCGGGGACGAUAAUGACGGUACCCGGAGAAGAAGCCCCGGCUAACUUCGUGCCAGCCGCCGCAGUAAAAC